AAACUUACCUGGUUGGGAAUGGCCUAGCUCCUCCAUUGGGCUGUUCUAUUCUCGAGCAGAGCAAUGCACCCAGCUGUCUGUAAAGGAGUAUGACUCUUCUUUGUAAGGGCAUCAACAACACAAUUUUUGCUAGAGGCGCAUCAACUUCGGUUGUGUGCCAA